rnacentral:misc_RNA from 1 species
GUUGCUGAAGAGUUAGAGAAACAGGUAACUAUCUCACAUCUGAUCUGCUCCUUGGACUCAGCUUUGGUGGCAAGGCUAUGGGGUUGUUCCUGAAUUUUAACAAGCUAAAAAACCAAAUAAAUAAAAGAGUAGAUAUAAAAUAUUGAGUCUGUUCUUGAGAGGAGACAAAUCUUCCUUGAAAGGGAGAUGUUUUAACAGUUAUAGAUCAAAAGAUGUAACAAGAUAAGGUCAAAAUUUUAUUUUGGAUUGGGGAAGGUUUGAAAAUUUUAU